AUUGAACGCUGGCGGCAUGCUUUACACAUGCAAGUCGAACGGCAACACGCCGUUCGGUCCUGCCGCGUGGGGCACGGGUGUGUAUUAUACAGGAAAGCGUCCCCACGAGGGGGGGAACUCUCCGCAAGAGUAGCUAUUAUACCACACGCGACCUGGGGGUGAGAGGGGGGGAGCAUCGCACCGCGCGCUUGGAGAGCCCGAUGUCAGAUUAGGUAGUUGGUGGGGUAAAGGCGUACCAAGACAACGAUCUGUAGCUGGUCUGAGAGGACAACCAGCCACACUGGGACUGAGACACGGCCCAGACUCCUACGGGAGGCAGCAGUGGGGAAUUUUGGACAAUGGGCGCAAGCCUGAUCCAGCAAUGCCGCGUGUAUGAAGAAGGCCUUCGGGUUGUAAAGUGCUUUUGUACGGAACGAAACGGCUCUGGUUAAUACCCGGGUCUAAUGACGGUACCGGAAGAAUAAGCACCGGCUAACUACGUG
rnacentral:rRNA from 1 species